CUUUCGUGCGGUCGAUAUUUUCCGAGUUAUGGGGAAAAUAGUGACUACGUAUAAUUAUUGAAUUAUUUAUUAUUCACUUUACUUCUUAAAGGUGCCGUGAGAUAUUAGAUAGUCACGAUUACAUUAUUCUAUUAAGAGUAAUUUCAUUAGUAUCAUUUGGCGAAUAUUACCCAGCCAUGACAUCUUUUUCUAGACCUCUCUUACCCUCUAUGUUUCCUUCGAGUUCCAGUUGCCGA
rnacentral:lncRNA from 1 species